rnacentral:misc_RNA from 1 species
AAAGGUGCAAGCUCAACUCCAUCCUUACAACAAACACCACAAAUAUUAAGUUUCAUAUAUGAUCUUCAGUGAAUUUACAUGAAAUUAUACAAAAAAAUGACCCGUGUUGAAUGUUAACUUUAUGUGACGCUGCCAGUAUAACUCAAAUUAAUCAACAGACAAUUGGCACUUGAGUUGCUCAGGAAUAGAUAAGUUUAGAAAGACUCACCCCUGUUCUCUGUUGAUUUAAA